rnacentral:sRNA from 1 species
CUCCCCCCGCCUUCCCCCAACAAUACAGGACGCCGGGGUCCGCGCCGCGUCCUCCCUGGUCCCCCCGUCCGAUUAUGUCUCGGAUCGAAUCCCUCACGCGGGCGCGGAUCGACCGGAGCAGAGAGCUGGCGAGCAAGACCCGGGAAAAGGAGAAGAUGAAGGAAGCCAAGGAUGCCCGCUAUACCAAUGGGCACCUCUUCACCACCAUUUCAGUUUCAGGCAUGACCAUGUGCUAUGCCUGUAACAAGAGCAUCACAGCCAAGGAAGCCCUCAUCUGCCCAACCUGCAAUGUGACUAUCCACAACCGCUGUAAAGACACCCUCGCCAACUGUACCAAGGUCAAGCAGAAGCAACAGAAAGCGGCCCUGCUGAAGAACAACACCGCCUUGCAGUCCGUUUCUCUUCGAAGUAAGAACAUUUCAAUGAUGAGUCUCCCCUGGGGCUGCGCCGGAUCCUCUCACAGUCCACAGACUCCCUCAACAUGCGGAACCGAACCCUAUCCGUGGAAUCCCUCAUUGACGAAGCAGAGGUAAUCUACAAUGAGCUGAUGAGUGACUUUGAGAUGGAUGAGAAGGACUUUGCAGCUGACUCUUGGAGCCUUGCUGUGGACAGCAGCUUCCUGCAGCAGCAUAAAAAGGAGGUGAUGAAGCAGCAAGAUGUCAUCUAUG